UACGGGGGGGGCGAGCGUUGUUCGGAAUUACUGGGCGUAAAGGGUUUGUAGGUGGCCUGCUAAGUCAGACGUGAAAUCCCUCAGCUUAACUGGGGAACUGCGUCUGAUACUGGAUGGCUAGAGGUUGGGAGAGGGAUGCGGAAUUCCAGGUGUAGCGGUGAAAUGCGUAGAUAUCUGGAGGAAUACCGGUGGCGAAGGCGGCAUCCUGGACCGGCAUUGACGCUGAGGAGCGAAAGCCAGGGGAGCAAACGGG
rnacentral:rRNA from 1 species